rnacentral:rRNA from 1 species
UAACGGCGAGUGAAAUGGGAUGAGCCCAGCACCGAAUCCGGCUGCCGAAAGGCGGUCGUGAAAUGUGGUGUUCGGGAGGGCUCUGUCCGUGUCCGGUGUCGGUCCAAGUCUUCUGGAAAGGAGUUCCACGGAGGGUGACAGGCCCGUGCGACCGAUUGCCGCGCUCGCGGACGAGUCCUCCUUCGAGUCGGGUUGUUCGCUAAUGCAGCCCCAAGCAGGUGGUAAGCUCCAUCUAAGGCUAAAUAUAACCACGAGCCCGAUAGUCCACAAGUACAGUGAUGGAAAGUUGAAAAGUACUCUGAAGAGAGAGUCAAAUAGCCCGUGAAGCUGCCAGUAUGGGAUUAAGCGCACGUAUGACGCGUGUCGUCGGCCAAAUAGGCGACUGUUGGGUGUGCACACUGUGCGCGGGUGCGCUCUGUUGGCGUGCUCGUGCGUUCGGUGUAUGCGCAUGCUCGGCAGAACGCUUCCCUUUGGUCGCACAUUGACAGGUCGUGGCUUCGUUGUCCAUGGUCUUAUUGCCGGCUGGUGACUCGCAGAGCCGUGUCGAGCGCUGGCACAGUCUUACGGCUGUGUCUGGCGUGUUCCGUCAAUUUGGCGCUGCCUGACAGCGGUGACGGUCGGCUUGGUCUGCGCUGCAAUAUGCCUGCCGAUGGCGAGCGACCGGACGACGGCUAGCGCAAAUUGGAAGCGUC